GCGCGGGUGGGGAAAGCGGAAGCGGUGGCCGCGCGUCGCCGGAAGCGGGUGUGAGGGCGGAGCCAUGGACGUCACCGUUAACGUCAGUAGUUGCCCCGCCCUUGCCCUCGCCGCCCUCCGGUGUUUAAAAGGCUCCAAUGUACUCUGAGGUAUUUAUCAGCGCUCCCCAGUGCGGGGCGAACGCGGCUGGAGCAUGGUCUCUGGAAUCAGACCACUUAGAUUAAAGUCCUAGCUUGACCACUUGCCAUCUGAAUGCUCUCCAGCAAGUUAUUUCACUUCUCUGGGUCUCAGUUUCCUCAUCUGUAAUAAUAGUAUUUACCUCAGAGGAUGACUAUGAAGAACUAAUGAGUUAACAUUUGCAAACAAUUCAUCCAACCGUCUCUACCUGCCCUGUGCCCUGGAAGCAGACCUCUGUGGACUCCACCAAUAGGCCCCCAUGCCCUCUGGCUUCCAGUAUAUAUUUACGGGGAGUGUCCGGAGUGAACUGAAGUCAUGCAGGAGUGCCAUGCAGAUGUGGCCAGCUGGUCAGAAAGAACGAUGAAGAGAGAACCGAGCACGCACCUAUAUUCCUGCAGCACUAAUGCUGACCAGUGGCCCAACGGAGAAGAAAUGUUGCAAGCCAGACAAACCAGAGGACCACCAGUUCAUUCUCAAGGACACAAAGGUAUCUUCGCUACCCCUUGGAUCCCCAGGGGACCUAAACGCUUGGCUCCGCGUGUGGCUUCACCUCCAACGUGUUAAGUGUUUAAAAAAACCCAAAAUCCAACCGAGUAAAUUUGAAAAUCUAAUUGGUUUUAUUAAGUGAUUCUUGAACCAGGCAGCAUCGCAUCUAGCAAGUAGAGAGAGAAAAUUGCACAAAAUGGAAGGUUUUUAUAAGCGGGCGGGUGGUGGGGCAAGGAAGUAUCAGCAAAAGAAAAGAAGGAUUGUUUUCAAGCCAGGACGACUUCUUUUUGCGGAGAAGGGCAGGGCAGGGUUUUUUUUAUCAUGCAAAUUACGUGCUGGUCUGGAAUUUUCAGGUUGACUGUUAAAAGACCACAUUCCUGGGGUGCCUAGCUGACUCAGUCGGUAGAGCUGACAACUGUGGAUCUCAGGGUUGUGA